CUACGUGCCAGCAGCCGCGGUAAUACGGAAGGUCCAGGCGUUAUCCGGAUUUAUUGGGUUUAAAGGGUGCGUAGGCCGUUUGAUAAGCGUGCUGUGAAAUAUAGUGGCUCAACCUCUAUCGUGCAGCGCGAACUGUUGAACUUGAGUGCGUAGUAGGUAGGCGGAAUUCGUGGUGUAGCGGUGAAAUGCUUAGAUAUCACGAAGAACUCCGAUUGCGAAGGCAGCUUACCGUAACGUUACUGACGCUUAAGCACGAAGGUGCGGGUAUCGAACAGGAUUAGAUACCCUGGUAGUCCGCMCAGUAAACGAUGGAUGCUCGCUGUUGGCCUUUGUGGUCAGUGGCUUAGCGAAAGCGUUAAGCAUCCCACCUGGGGAGUACGCCGGCAACGGUGAAACUCAAAGGAAUUGACGGGGGCCCGCACAAGCGGAGGAACAUGUGGUUUAAUUCGAUGAUACGCGAGGAACCUUACCCGGGCUUGAACUGCAGCUGAACGAUUCAGAGAUGAU
rnacentral:rRNA from 1 species